rnacentral:misc_RNA from 1 species
UGUGGGAGCUGGCUUGCCUGCGAUAGCGGUUUACCUGACACACCGGGUCGCCUGCAUCGCAGGCAAGCCAGCUCCCACA